GAUGAACGCUGGCGGCGUGCCUAAUACAUGCAAGUCGAGCGAACAGACGAGGAGCUUGCUCCUCUGACGUUAGCGGCGGACGGGUGAGUAACACGUGGAUAACCUACCUAUAAGACUGGGAUAACUUCGGGAAACCGGAGCCAAUACCGGAUAAUAUAUUGAACCGCAUGGUUCAAUAGUGAAAGACGGUUUUGCUGUCACUUAUAGAUGGAUCCGCGCCGCAUUAGCUAGUUGGUAAGGUAAUGGCUUACCAAGGCGACGAGGCGUAGCCGACCUGGGAGGGUGAGCGCCCACACUGGAACUGCGACACGGUCCAGACUCCUACGGGAGGCAGCAGUAGGGAAUAUUCCGCAAUGGGCGCAAGCAUGACGCAGCAACGCCGCGUGAGUGAUGAAGGUCUUCGGAUCGUAAAACUCUGUUAUUCGGUAAGAACAAAUGUGUAGGAAACUAUGCACGUCUUGAAGGUACCUAAUCAGAAAGCCACGGCUAACUUCGUG
rnacentral:rRNA from 1 species